CCUAUAAAAUUCAGUUUGCCACCAGAGCUCGUCUGGAGUAGAACUGCUUUCGGAAACUGAAUAGUUGUUCAUCAAAAAUAUCCAAAUUCUCAGUGAAAUGGACGGUGGGCCAUAGCAUCGCAUUAGCCUUGACUUUAAUGUCAAAUGGGCAAAUGGGAGCUAUCAGAGGUAUGGAGUUCCGUACCAGCCCCAAAAUAAUCAGUUUGCCACCAGAGCUCGUCUGGAGUAGAACUCGUUUCGGAAAUUGAAUAGUUAUUCAUCAAAAAUAUCCAAAUUCUCAGUGAAAUGGAUGGGAUUUUAUUGACUCACCUUUAAUUAUGUUUGCACACACUUGCACCUUCGAUAAAUCACACCUGAUGUUCAACCAUGAUGUUCAACCAUGAUGUUCAAACCUGAUGUUCAAACCGGAUUUUCAAACCUGAUGUUCAACCCUGAUGUACCGCAUUUCUUCCGGACUAACAACUAUGACUAUAUACACUUUGAUGAUGUACGUUGAUGUACAAUAUACUAGCACGCUUGCCUGUCCCAAAAAACCAAUUUACCAUUUUGAUGAUAUACCAUACUGGAAGUAGCACGCUUUCUUUACCCAAUUGAGCAUUGUUUUUUAUCGAAGGAUUAUGCAUUAUAAAAACAAUUUUAAUUUGGUCCUGGCUUUCAUGGGAUUUUAUGACAGCCACUACCCGAUCCAUCUAAUUCUGCCUACAAUUUAUUACUAAAACAUAAUGGAGCCGAAUUUUUUUUUUUUUUUUUCGUUUCGCCAAAUUGUUUCACUGAUAAAUGACGAUAUGAACUAGGAUAAUGGUAAAGACACUGAGAGCUGAUGGUACCGGUCCCGCUGGACGUGUAGUUUGCAUCGGUUCUCCCCACUGAAGAUUUUGAUCAAAUGCCAACAUACAAACUGCCAAAUGCCAAUUAUUAUUAUUUAAUUGUUGUACAACGCGUACGAGCCCAAUGAAGCAAUCUCCAUCUAGCAUAAAUAAAAAUACAAAAAAAAUA